AGAAUCAACGCUGGCGGCGUGCCUAACACAUGCAAGUCGAACGAGAAAGUGGAGCAAUCCAUGAGUAAAGUGGCGACCGGGUGAGUAACACGUGACUAACCUACCUUCGAGUGGGGGAUAACCUCGGGAAAACCGAGGCUAAUACCGCAUAACAUCGCAAGAUCAAAGCAGCAAUGCGCUGGAAGAGGGGGUCGCGGCUGAUUAGCUAGUUGGCGGGUAACGCCCACAAGGCGAAGAUCGGUAGCCGGCCUGAGAGGGCGCACGGCCACACUGGAACUGAAACACGGUCCAGACUCCUACGGGAGGCAGCAGUGGGGAAUUUUGCGCAAUGGGGGAAACCCUGACGCAGCAACGCCGCGUGGAGGAUGAAGCCCCUUGGGGCGUAAACUCCUUUCGACCAAGACGAUAAUGACGGUACUGGUGGAAGAAGCACCGGCUAACUCUGCGCCAGCAGCCGC
rnacentral:rRNA from 1 species